AUUGAACGCUGGCGGCAUGCCUUACACAUGCAAGUCGAACGGUAACGCGGGGCAACCUGGCGACGAGUGGCGAACGGGUGAGUAAUAUAUCGGAACGUGCCCAGUCGUGGGGGAUAACUGCUCGAAAGAGCAGCUAAUACCGCAUACGACCUGAGGGUGAAAGCGGGGGAUCUUCGGACCUCGCGCGAUUGGAGCGGCCGAUAUCAGAUUAGGUAGUUGGUGGGGUAAAGGCCUACCAAGCCGACGAUCUGUAGCUGGUCUGAGAGGACGACCAGCCACACUGGGACUGAGACACGGCCCAGACUCCUACGGGAGGCAGCAGUGGGGAAUUUUGGACAAUGGGCGAAAGCCUGAUCCAGCAAUGCCGCGUGCAGGAUGAAGGCCUCGGUU
rnacentral:rRNA from 1 species